rnacentral:rRNA from 1 species
CUAAUGGUUCCGUUAGCCGUUUGUUCAGUGCUCCGGCAAUCUGCUGCUACCUUUAGCUUUCGAGGAUACUGCCCAGCUUGGACCCGGAGAGUUAGAGGUACUACAGGGGUAGGAGUGAAAUCUUGUAAUCCCUGUGGGACCCACCUGUGGCGAAGGCGUCCUACCAGAACGGGUUCGACGGUGAGGGACGAAAGCUGGGGGCACGAACCGGAUUAGAUACCCGGGUAGUCCCAGCUGUAAACGAUGCUCGCUAGGUGUCAGGCAUGGCGCGACCGUGUCUGGUGCCGUAGGGAAGCCGUGAAGCGAGCCACCUGGGAAGUACGGCCGCAAGGCUGAAACUUAAAGGAAUUGGCGGGGGAGCACAACAACGGGUGGAGCCUGCGGUUUAAUUGGACUCAACGCCGGACAACUCACCGGGGGCGACAGCAAUAUGUAGGCCAAGCUGAAGACUUUGCCUGAAUCGCUGAGAGGAGGUGCAUGGCCGUCGCCAGUUCGUACUGUGAAGCAUCCUGUUAAGUCAGGCAACGAGCGAGACCCGUGCCCACUGUUACCAGCAUGUCCUCCGGGACGAUGGGUACACUGUGGGGACCGCCGGUGUUAAAUCGGAGGAAGGUGCGGGCCACGGUAGGUCAGUAUGCCCCGAAUCUCCCGGGCUACACGCGGGCUACAAUGGAUGGGACAAUGGGUCCCUCCCCUGAAAAGGGCUGGCAAUCUCACAAACCUAUCCUUAGUUCGGAUCGAGGGCUGUAACUCGCCCUCGUGAAGCUGGAAUCCGUAGUAAUCGCGUUUCAAUAUAGCGCGGUGAAUACGUCCCUGCUCCUUGCACACACCGCCCGUCAAACCACCCGAGUGAGGUAUGGGUGAGGGCACGGACACUGUGCCGUGUUCGAACCUGAAUUUUGCAAGGGGGGUUAAGUCGUAACAAGGUAGCC